ensembl:snRNA U6 U6 spliceosomal RNA
GGCAGCACAUAUACUCUUCAAAAAAACAGCGGAACGACACAGUGAAGAUUAGCAUGGCCCCUGUGCAAGGAUGACAUGCAAAUUUGAAAGCGUUCCAUAUUAAA